GACGGACGCUGGCGGCGUGCUUAACACAUGCAAGUCGUACGGUAAGGCCCUUUCGGGGGUACACGAGUGGCGAACGGGUGAGUAACACGUGCGUAACCUGCCCACCACUUUGGGAUAACGCUAGGAAACUGGUGCUAAUACUGGAUAUGUGCUCCUGCUGCAUGGUGGGGGUUGGAAAGCUCCGGCGGUUGUGGAUGGACUCGCGGCCUAUCAGCUUGUUGGUGGGGUAGUGGCCUACCAAGGCGGCGACGGGUAGCCGGCCUGAGAGGGUGACCGGCCACAUUGGGACUGAGAUACGGCCCAGACUCCUACGGGAGGCAGCAGUGGGGAAUAUUGCACAAUGGGCGCGAGCCUGAUGCAGCAACGCCGCGUGCGGGAUGACGGCCUUCGGGUUGUAAACCGCUUCCAGCAGGGACGAAGCUUUUUGUGACGGUACCUGCAGAAGAAGCACCGGCUAACUACGUG
rnacentral:rRNA from 1 species